rnacentral:rRNA from 1 species
AUGAAAAUCAACGUUGAUGCAGGACUCUCUGACACGGGUCUAGGAGCGGCAGCAUCAGUUUGUCGAGACAGCACAGGCUUGUAUUUGGGAUCGUCGGCUCUAGUGAUUCAAGGAGCUACUGAUCCAGCAAUAGUAGAAGCUAUAGCUUGCCGUGAAGCACUCUCGCUUGCAUAUAAUCUUUCACUUCAGAAUUUCCUUGUGGCAUGCGAUUGCAAAACAGUAGUUGAUGACAUUCAAAAAGGAAAGGGAGGAAUGUAUAUGUCAGUCAUCAAGGAAAUCUUCAUCUGUAGUUCUCUUUUUAAUAGCUGUAAUUUUAUUUUUGAAGGGAGAGCAUCGAACUUAGAUGCACAUAAACUUGCAAAAGAUUCAUUAGCACUUGAUCAGGGUCGCCACCUGUGGCUGAUUCACCCCCAUGACCCCUUAUGUAUCCCUCUUAAUGUCCAACUAGAUGAAUAA